UACGGAGGAUGCAAGCGUUAUCCGGAAUGAUUGGGCGUAAAGCGUCCGCAGGCGGUUUUGUAAGUCUGCUGUUAAAGCGUUAGGCUCAACCUAAUAAGGGCAGUGGAAACUACGAGACUAGAGUAUGUUAGGGGUAGAGGGAAUUCCCAGUGUAGCGGUGAAAUGCGUAGAGAUUGGGAAGAACACCGGUGGCGAAGGCGGCAUCCUGGACCAAUUCUGACGCUGAGGAGCGAAAGCCAGGGGAGCAAACGGG
rnacentral:rRNA from 1 species